GGAGUUUGGUCCGUGUCUCAGUACCAAUGUGGGGGACCUUCCUCUCAGAACCCCUACUGAUCGUCGGCUUGGUGGGCCGUUGCCCCGCCAACUACCUAAUGCCACGCGUGCCCAUCCGUAACCACCAAGGCUUUCGCCGCCUGACCAUGCGGCCAAACGGCUAUAUGGGGUAUUAGUGGAAAUUUCUCUCCGUUAUCCCCCUGUUACGGGCAGGUUGCAUACGCGUUACGCACCCGUGCGCCGGUCGCCGGCAGUGUAUUGCUACACCCCGCCUGCCCCUCCGACUUGCAUGUGUUAAGCCUGCCGCUAGCGUUCAUC
rnacentral:rRNA from 1 species